GAUGAACGCUGGCGGCGUGCCUAAUACAUGCAAGUCGAGCGAACGGACGAGAAGCUUGCUUCUCUGAUGUUAGCGGCGGACGGGUGAGUAACACGUGGAUAACCUACCUAUAAGACUGGGAUAACUUCGGGAAACCGGAGCUAAUGCCGGAUAAUAUUUUGAACCGCAUGGUUCAAAAGUGAAAGACGGUCUUGCUGCCACUUAUAGAUGGAUCCGCGCUGCAUUAGCUAGUUGGUAAGGUAACGGCUUACCAAGGCAACGAUGCAUAGCCGACCUGAGAGGGUGAUCGGCCACACUGGAACUGAGACACGGUCCAGACUCCUACGGGAGGCAGCAGUAGGGAAUCUUCCGCAAUGGGCGAAAGCCUGACGGAGCGACGCCGCGUGAGUGAUGAAGGUCUUCGGAUCGUAAAACUCUGUUAUUAGGGAAGAACAUAUGUGUAAGUAACUGUGCACAUCUUGACGGUACCUAAUCAGAAAGCCACGGCUAACUACGUG
rnacentral:rRNA from 1 species